UACAGAGGUCUCAAGCGUUUGUUCGGAUUCAUUGGGCGUAAAGGGUGCGUAGGCGGCGCGGUAAGUCGGGUGUGAAAUCUCGGAGCUUAACUCCGAAACUGCAUUCGAUACUGCCGUGCUUGAGGACUGGAGAGGAGACUGGAAUUUACGGUGUAGCGGUGAAAUGCGUAGAUAUCGUAAGGAAGACCAGUGGCGAAGGCGGGUCUCUGGACAGUUCCUGACGCUGAGGCACGAAGGCCAGGGGAGCAAGCGGG
rnacentral:rRNA from 1 species